AGGGAGUUUGAAGUAAAGUAAGCAGUAUGAGGGAUAGAAACUCGACCUUCCAAGAACUCUCUAUAAUAGAAAGUUGUGACUACAUCUUGUUCUAUGCUCAAUGAAUGUGAUACAAGUGAUGUAUGAAUGGACAGGUUAAUUACAUUGUGUUAUGGUUUUAAAACAAACCAUAAACAGAGGGAAUGUAGAAUAUUGCAUAUUCUAUGUUUCUAUUGAUUAUAUAUAUGGAUGUGUGGAUUGACAUAAGUAACAG